rnacentral:tRNA from 1 species
CGCGGGGUGGAGCAGCUGGAAGCUCGUCGGGCUCAUAACCCGGAGGCCGCAGGUUCGAAUCCUGUCCCCGCAA